GAGAAUUUUAUUGAGUUUUAUUUUGAAAUCGGCCUGAAAUACACAGACAUUCAAGCAGUGCGAUGCGCUAAGAGUCUGCCAUGCAGACCAGCGAUCCUGAUAAUGAUGCUAUCAACAGCAUGUCUUGUUCAUUUUAUUAAGUUGUCGGCCUUGGAUGAUGAGGUCCAGUUACCAGGAGCACUAGUCUGCAGCUUACUGGUUCCGUCCUGCAGCUCCUCCACGCCGUCCUCCUCUCUACAGACCAAAUCAAGAAAAGGGAACCAGGAAGCUGCUUUGGAUCCUCUGCAGUAUCUGGAGAGGUCAGAGGAACGGUUCUUGGAACAGAUCGGAAGACACCAAGACGUGACCUCUGCCAUUCUCCAGAACAUCCAGAAGAUGAAUGAAAACCUUGGUUGCAC